UUCUGGUUGAUCCUGCCGGAGGCUACCGCUAUUGGAGUUCGAUUAAGCCAUGCGAGUCGAGAGUCUUAGGGACUCGGCGUACCGCUCAGUAACACGUGGGUAACCUGCCCUAUGCUGGGGAAUAACCUCGGGAAACUGAGAAUAAUACCCCAUAGUUCACCACGCCUGGAACGGUGGGUGGAUGAAAGCUCCGGCGGCAUAGGAUGGGCCUGCGACGUAUCAGGUUGUAGGGGGUGUAACGUACCCUCUAGCCAUCAACGCGUACGGGUGUUGGGAGACAUAGCCCGGAGAUGGAUUCUGAGACACGAAUCCAGACCCUACGGGGUGCAGCAGGCGCGAAAACUUGGCAAUGCGAGCAAUCGUGACCAGGGAACUCCAAGUGGCUGGGGUAAUACCCAGUUUUUUCUUGACUCUUCAAAGGUCUUGGAAUAAGGGGUGGGUAAGGACGGUGCCAGCCGCCGCGGUAAUACCGGCGCCUCAAGUGGUAGUCGCUUUUAUUGGGCCUAAAACGUCCGUAGCCGGUCUGGUGCAUUCGUGGGUAAAUCAACCCGCUCAACGGGUUCAAUUCUGCGAGCACGGCCAGACUUGGGACCGGGAGAGGUGUGGGGUACUCUCAGGGUAGGGGUAAAAUCCUGUCAUCCUGAGAGGACCACCUGUUGCGAAGGCGCCACACUAGAACGGAUUCCACGGUCAGGGACGAAACCUAGGGGCACGAACCGGAUUAGAUACCCGGGUAGUCCUAGGUGUAAACGCUGUGGACUUGAUGUUGGGGGUGCUCCCAGCACUCUCA
rnacentral:rRNA from 1 species